GAGGGGAUUGUAGGUUUGAAUAAACGGUUUUUGGUAAUGUUAGAUACGAAUUAGUAUAUAGUAGAUAUUGGGAUACUGCUCGAUGGUGCUGUGGUGAGACUAUUACGGGAUCGUAUAUACUUCUGGAUUUUAUCUAGGUGCGUUUAGAUUAUUAAAAAACAUGGGAAACAGGAAAAAUACGAAUAAGUCCUGGUAAACCUAUAUAGAGACUUCCGCAUAGAUUGCCAAGUGGAUAGUAUUUCCGUGUGAUGGGACAGUGUUCGUGUACUUUUUCGAUUUACGGGAAAUAUCCGGAAAUUGUGAGAAAACUACGUAUCCGGCAAUUCCUGAGGAGUUUUCAUCGCUGAUAAGUGAUUUGCAUCGAGUGUCUGAGCGACGAUUGUUCCUUGAUGUAAAAUAAAAAAAAGAAUAAGGAUAUUAAGGUAUACGAUAUCACACAAUUCUUCGUUACAAGUUUCGGAAAGCAAUGUGAAUUGUCUUGAAAAAAGUAGAAUGGUGGAAAGUAAAAUGCUUUUUUUUUUGUACGAAAUUUCAUGAAAAUGAAAGUAAUUUUAUUUUAUUUCUUAUGGACACUUUCUUCCUCCUUUCAUCACCCUCGAAAUCUCAUUGUUCCCAAUGGGUUACAAUUGUUUCUUUUUUAUUCGUUCAUUCGUUUGCGUAUUUUCUUUUUUUUACUUCUCGUUUCUUUUCUCUUCUCAAGACUGCUCAGAUCCUCACUCGCGUAACUAUGUACUUGCUGAAUAGAAGCUUGUCCUACUUAGCGUGGGUACAGUGUUCAAAUGAAUUCCUGUCAUCUUGAAAAAGAAUCCGCAGGCGAAAGAGUUUCGUUGGUAAAAGCUUUCCUUAGAGAAAAAUAAAAAAGUGCAUUGAAAGAGAAAGAAAAACAGGAAGGCAUCAAGGAAGCUCAUCAAAUGAGUAUAGCUACGUCGAAUUUCUGGUUUUCCUCAACAGUGUGACAAAACGCGACGCUAUGAUAUCCACUCGAGAUAAAGUGCACGGAUUCGCAUUAUCCUCCACGUUAUUAAUUGUUCCCCGACAUCCAUACAAGUUUCUGGUGCAGUCUGGUGAAUCGUAGGACGUGGAAGUGAGCCUCUGAACUCCUGAAUAAUAAUUGGAACACCCCUGCAUGCAAAGUGCUCCGCUCUCAACUGUCGUAAAUCACGGGUCGAAUCCCAUCUAGGAGCGAGCCGUGAAAUCAAAUAUUUUCUAUAAUUAAAAUACUCAUCAAAACAUUGAUUAAUUAAAGGACUCAAUGGAUCAAGAAUUGCACGAGUGGCAUGCAACUUUUUUUUAACACCAAAAAAAGUAGCUUCUGUGCAUUUAAAAGUGCGUGAACUGCUGCUUCUUAUAGAUUUAUUAAAUUAUAGCAGGGUGAAUGAGUGAUAUGAAGAAUAUUGAAUGGCAUAAAGGUUCUAAAUUUUUGUAAAAAUUUAUUUCUUAAAUGAUCCACUGAUGUAAAUGUCACGAUGACGUCAUAGCAGUGCAUGCUUUGUAGCCUGGAGACAGUAUUUUAAUAAAGAUUUAUAAAUGUGAGGAUCAAUACGAAUUAAUGGUAAUUGAUCCACUCAGAACCUAUAGAAGAUUAUGUUAUAGAUGAACAUUUAAGAUAAGCCGUUCGGCUGUUUCAGUGAAGGAUAAAGUUAGGCAGAUCUAAUUUUACGCUUGGGAACUUAAUGCGCCAUUUAAAUCGGUAAUCUGCGUCGCGACGCUAUCAUGGGAUCGUGGGACGUCAGGAAAACUUCGCUACGUCUCGUUAUCACCCGGAUGCUCUAAUCAGUGAAUGUGACUAUAAUAAAAGGGAUGCACUCGAGGAUCUGAGAAAAAAUGAUGGGUCUGUUUGAUCGCUUGCUUCUUGGUCAAUAGUUCAUAGUCGCAACGACGUAUCGGACGUAUGGGAAAGUCUUAUCAUUUGCGAUAACUAGUAGUUUCUUGGGAUAUACCUUAUCACUAUUGGAGCAACUGCAGAAAUUCAUCGAAUUUAUUGUGCAACAACGACGACGCCCUAAAGUCCGUGUAAAGUUCAAAGAACCUGAUGCACAGUGCAUUGUACAUACUUGUACAUAGUCAUAAAUUCCAAGCAACACAAUCUCCUCUCGUCAUAUACACUUCUCAUGCAUAUUAACAAAAAUAUUAUAGUGAAUAUUUUUUUAUUAAUCACGUUAAAAAAAAUUAAAUAAUGAAGUUAAUUUUUUUUUCUGACAAUUGAUUUUUUACGUCAUUUCUAUUAGUACCUUUAAACAAAUGGCAUUGCACAAUAAUAAUGGAGACUAAAGAAUAGGAUUAGAUAUACAUAUAUGUAUGUAUAAUACAUAUAUAUGCGAUUCCAUCAGACUUUAGCAACCCGUAUUUAAUUUGCUGUGCUACGUGGAUUCGGUCGUUUUUUAUUUUGAACACAUAUCCCGGAGAUGGUACAUCGUAUCAAAAAAUUAUCAAAAAUGAAAGUUUUGUUUUUGCUUCCUCAUAGAGGAAGCUAUGUGACGGUGGAACAUUUUUCUUUCGAGAUUUUCAUGUCACCAUGUUAAGAAUGUGCCAAAACGUCGAGAAAACACAUUUGAAGAAAAUGUCCGGAUGAAUGUAUGUGUGUGUGUGUGAUAUGGCCUCUCAAAAUUCAAACGUGUAUAACUCGAGAACUGUCUUAGUUACAGCCCUCAAAUGUUUGCAGGCAUGUGCACCUCUAUAAUCCAUUCAUCGACUAUAAUUUUCGUCACGAUUCAAGCUGCCGUUCGGAUUUUAUGUCGUUUUCAAAUUCCCAAAAAAAGAACGUUAUCACUCUAGCGAUCGUAAAUUUUGUGAUACUCGUCUAAAUUGUUCUUGACAAAACGAUUUGUAUCCAAGGUUGGUUGGUAUUGCAUUUAGGCCGAAUCCAUCGAGAAGUUUUGAUUUUAUGAUAUUUUGAAUUUUUCGAAAAAUCAACUUUAUCGCUGUAACUAGCGCUUACUUCAACGAAUCAAACCGCAAUUCUGUGCAAGUAUGAAAUAUCAUCUAGCCGUAUAACAUAUAAAAUUUGGUGAAGAUCGGCAAAGCAGAUCUAAUUCUAUAGCAAUUCGAAAUUUCACGGUUCGGUAUAGUAAAUGAAGAUUCAUCUAUGAAAAAGCCAAAGAUUAAAACAAAUGAAAAUGCUUCCUCAUAUAGGGCCUUCAUACACUACCUACGAUUCGGAGGAAGCAAAUUGCAAGUUCCAGCUUGCGGCUGUUUUCAGUAUCUACAAUGAAAAAUUUUUUUUAACUUGUUGAGUAAUCUAAACCAGUUUUCAAGUAAAAGAAAUACAUAAAAUGUUUUUUCCUGGCCAAAGCGCCAUCGAUAUUGGUGUUAUGAAAAUUUUUUUAUAUUCUGUAGACAGAAUAUGAAUAUUGUGCAAAAUUACAAAUUGGGACAUCCGGCCGUUUUUUAGUCACAAAUUUCUUUUUAAUUUAUAAGAACACUAAUUUUUGUUAAAAAUCUUAAACAAAAAUAAAUAAAUAAAUUCUAGUAAAUAAAAAAAAGUAAUGCGGGCUUUAAGUUUAUAACCCUAAAGACAGUCUCAACCCUGAAACGUAUAGAGAGAUAAUUUAAUCAUAAAAACCAAAAAUUAGUGUUCUUAUCAAUUAAAAAAAAUUUUUAUUUUGUAAUUUUGCACAAAAUGCAUAUUCUGUCUACAGAAUAUUAAAAUAAUUCUGUAACUCCGAUAUCGGUGGGGCUAUGGUCAGGAAAAAAAUGUUUGUGUUGUUAUAGUUUGGUUUUUAGGAAAAACUAUUCGUAGCGUGAAACCCAGGCUCGGGAUUCGGAUUUCGAAUGAUAUUCGAAAGGAAAUCUUCCUCGGAAGAAAUAAGCACGAACGGUUGGAAUAUUCAUCUCGAAGGGUUUAUUUUGUAGAGUAUUGUAAUUUCAGCAAGAUCCUUUAUGGUAAUAACUUUGCGCGACUAUGGUUGAGUUUAGAGUAUGACUGAACAUGAUAAGCAUUCCGGCGUUUGAUAUAUAUAGUCAAAAUCCGCAGACUAGAGGGGUAAGGAAAUAUCGGUUUGGGUUAAAUGUAUUAAAGGUUGCGGAAAUGCACUUUGGCAUAGACUAGGAUAAGGACGCGUAAUGUGGUCUAGGAUGAGCCAAGUAUGCUGAGAAAUAGGAUAAGAUCUUUAGCCUGUGUAAUGGUAAUCAUUGCGAAAUGCUUGCUGAAUGAUUGGGGAGGUGCGUUUCACAAUGUGGCGUAUGCCAGAACAAUGUAUUUCUUUUUUUUCAAAACAGGUUUAGAUUACCCAAAAAUUAAAAAAACUUUUUUGAUUGUAGAUACUAAGAAACACAAAAUUUUUAUUUUUUAUAAUUUUUUCAUACGAUGCAUAGUCCCUGGGAUAUCUGUGUUCAAAAUAAAAAUGACCGAAUCCACGUAGCACAGCAAAUAAAAUAUGGGUGGCUAAAGUCUGAUGGAAUCGCUUAUAUAUAUAUAUAUAUAUACAUAUAUAUAUAUAUAGAUAUUUGUAUUGUAGUGCGUACAUACAUAGCGCGUACCAAUUACAGUCAGUGUGACGGUAACGAUGGUUACGAGGAAGACGAGAUGCUAGACAGUAACUUUCUUCCGAUCGCAGAUGCACCUAGAAGAUUCGCGUCAAGUAAAGCGCCAUCUUUUUUCACUUUUUCUUUCGUGCCCUUUCUUUUUUCCUUCUUUUUAACAGCUCUCCCGUGAGUUUUUCAAAUGCUUCUCGAUCUCCGGAAAAAAACCCCGUUGGCCCUGGGGCUGCGAGGGUUGUGUGAAUACGCUGGCUACAAUGGGGCUAUCCUUUUGUGGUCCUUUUCCGUCCGAUAGGUUGGGUCAGCUUGGUAAUAUGUUCAAGCAAAACUCGUUCAAGUCAAAACCGAACGUUUCACAUUGAUUUAUUUACGGAUCUCUUUUUGUUUCAUCCCUCCGUUCGCACGCCCUCGAGUCAUGUGACAAUUUUAAAGUAAAUUGUUAUCUCGCGUUCCAAUAUUUCUACAUUUAUAAUAGAAAAAAAAUGGGAAAUUGCAUUAAUAUUAUUUCAUUCAAAAGGUUUUAAACGUACUACACCUUUCUGGUAGCAAAUAUUCAUUCAAAUGAUUUUGACUGGAUAAUAUAAUAAAUUUUCUAAAUCUCCAUUAAGAGAACUUCGGACCUCUGAUUGCCAUACAAGUAAAAUGUCAACGAAAAUCGUAAAUAUCAAGAUUUUUAGAGAGAUUCGUUCCCAAAGUAAAGUUCAGCACACACUUUGCAAGGGUUACAAUCAUUUUGAUACUAUUUUCGCAAAUAUUAACCCAAAACCGAAAGAAUAAUCCGACCUGACAUUUUUCGCGUUUUUCAAAUCCAUAUCGAAAUGUUCAGGUCGGAUUAUUCUUUCAGUUUUUGAUUGAUAAUUGCUAAAGUGGUGUCAAAAUGAUUGUAAACCUUGAAAAAUAUGCGGUUAACUCCACUUUGGGAAAGAAUCUCUGUGAAAAUCCUGUUAUUUACGAUUUAAGUUCACAUUUUGCUCACAUAACCAAUGAGAUGUACGGAGUCCCCUUAAGCAAUUUUUUUAAAACAAAUGUUACAAUUUUCAUUUUUCAAUUGUCUAGUCUACGUUAUCGUUACAAUCAAGUAGAUUUGUUAUGUAUAUACUAUACUGAAGGAAAAGCAAAAGAAGAAUUGAGUACAUAGGCAAGCAUGUCUACAUAAGCAUAGUAUGUCUACAUAAACGCUCCUGAAAUACCUUGAGAAUCCACUAUAUUAUCUUUAUCGGUUGAAAUAUGGACACGGGUAAGGUAUCGGCUGAGAAUAGGACGUUAAGAGGAGAAAAACGUUUUUCCUGGUAAAAAAGGUUACGUACGUAAAUAAUAAAUAUAGAUAUCAAAACAGUAUAUCGAUACUUCACCAUUUUUUCUUCCUGUUCUUUUUUUCUUUUUUUUUCACCAUUCUUUUCUUCCUACCCUUCCGAAUGAUAUACCUUUUUUCGAUGGUUGCUCUCUCGUGUUUUCAGCGUUUUUGCCAACACACCCAGUGUGACAGGUGCAUUCAGGAAUGCAACUCGUCACCGCGCAGUGGAGAAAUACAUUUCGGGGAAACGGGAGUCCCACGCCGUGAGUUCGAAGAGACAAAAAGUUUUUUUCUUCAUCCUUUUUUUUUACCAGACCCUCUUUUAGAAAGUCUUUAAACCUAAGUGAUCCUACUUCUUAAGUGUCACGCUAUCGAUCAUUUCUCGCUGAGUAAACUGUAUUGCUAAAAAAAUGCACCUGAUCGUUGUAGAGAAGUGAUGGUUUUCAGGAUGAAAAAAAACAUUUCUCAGCAUUAACACAUCCUCGGUGAAUCUUAGGUGCAUUUGAAUUUGGUAAAUUAAAAGUGUCUUUUGGAACGAUCACACUAAUUACGUACGCUGACACUUUGUCAAUGAAUAAUAAUAGAUAUAUGCAGGUACACCGAAAAAACGCCAUGGAAAAUCAAACCAACAUGCAUUAUAAUGCACGUAAUAUAUGCAUGCAAUGUUCUCGCUUUUCCUAUUGAAUCGUAUGUCGUAUGGAUAACGAUCCGCCAUCUUGUUGAAAUCGUAAGGGAAAUCAAAUACUAUCACGAAUAUUCCGUUCGGGAAAAAUUCGUAUAAAACAAUUCGUUUAAAGCAAUUCGUCUAAUAACAAUUCGUCUAAUCAUAUUUUAUCUGAAACAAUUUGUCUAAAACAAUUCGUCUAAUCACAAUUCGUUUAAAACAAUUCGCCUAAUAACAAUUCGUGUAAUAACAAUUCGUCUAAUAACAAUUCGUCUAAAACAAUUCGUCUAAUAACAAUUCGACUGUCACACUAAAUUUGUUUAUAUUUUUCCAAUGUUAGGCAUCCAAUAUUUAUGAUGAGCUUAAAACUGUUUCGUUAGGUUAGAUUAGGUCAGAAUUCCAAUGCCACAUGUCCCAAGGUUUAGUUUUUUUUUUUAAAUAUACCUAUCUCCUUGCUGUUGUUAGUGCCGUAUGAUAUGGAAACUGCCUUCUGACAUAUAUGUAUACAUAUAUAGGGGGAAGCGCGAGAAACAGAAUAUCUGAAUAUCUCUGUUGAAUUUGAAGAUACAUAGUUCGUAAAUAUCGAAAUUUAAAUGGUUUGAAAGGGCACACAUGGCUGUCAUAAUUUUUUUCAUUUUUUUCAUUUUUUACCAGUUUUUUCAAGGUUAUCACCAGUUUUUUAAAUUGAAUGGCAUAUUUUUUCUCCUUAAACAUUGUAGUCGGCAUCCAAACGAAUCCAACAAUGUAACACAGUAUGAGCUUUAAACUAAGCUAUUAGCAAAUUGUUUAGACGCAUUGUUUUAGAUGAAUUGUUAUUAGACGAAUUUUACGCAAAUCCGAAUAUUCAUCAUGUUGAUGGGUGCCAUUUUUGGUGUAUAGAAUCUUUCAAGGGAAUUCCGAAUCAGAUUUAUAUGCAUCGUUGCAUCUUCCGACCAUGUUAAGAAAGCUCUCAAUUAUAAAUUGCAGAUACCAAAGAAUUAUUCAUGUUAUAUCAACUGACAGAUUCAAUUACUAAGAUAUCGGUGUCAGUUAACGUUUCCAUUAGUGUGAUAAAAAUGGUUGAUUUAAAAAAAAAACAGAAAAUCAUGUCUGUCAAGAUUUGAACGAGCAAUUUCAUUGACAUAGGAAAUUUAUUAAAGGGAACAACCAAGAUAGAGUAAAAGAGACACGCGUAAAUGUUUCCAGAGAAAUCACGAAAAUCCAUUUCAUCCCGCCUGACGUCUUGCGGCAUCUCUCAUAUUUCCUAGUGCUACGUCUUAACAGACGGACGAGGCUGACAUCUAGAGGCAUGAGAAAAUUCGAUCGUGAUCUGAGGAUGCAGUCGCAUUAACCGAUCUGCAGAGGAUGUCUAACGUCACCAGAACAUAAGACAUAUACAACCAGGAUACAAGUAGAUAUAGAUCAAGCUGAAUCAGCCAGUAGAAAAAACCAUCGAAUACAGACACAAUUAUUUAAUAAAAUUACCUCAAAUUUUUGAAUUCUGGUCAGUAUUGUGAA